rnacentral:misc_RNA from 1 species
UCAGAAGUUGAAUCACCAAUUGGCUUUUUCUGUGGUUCCUGAGAUAAUGUUUCUUUAUCAGACAACUCCAAAUUUCCCUUGUCCUCUCUGAGAAGCAGCUUGUCUGUGAGGAGAUUAACCUCAGCUUUUAGUUUAUCUUUCUCCUUGAGAAGGGUAUCAUAGUCAGCCUUCAGGCCGUUAUAGCUAGUCUGCAAUGCUUCAUAAUCCUUCUCCAGCUGUUUUGUCUUCCAUCUUGCUCGGCGGUUUUGAAACCAUAUGGCAACCUGCCUAGGCUGGAGACCAAGGUCCUUUGCAAGCUGGAUUUUCCUUUCAGGUUCGAGCUUGUUCUCAACCUCAAAACUUUUUUCAAGAAAAUGUACUUGAUCAACAGAAAGUCUCCUCUUCUUCUCACGUUGAUGAAAAUACUCAUCCAAUUCCUCAUCACCAUUCUCUUCGUGAUCAAAUGAGCGGAAAAAAGGCCGGGUUGAUCCAUUUACUUGAUGAACAUCCUCAAAGCUCACCAUGGAUCUUGAGCCU